AUGAUAAAAAUUAGUGGCAGACGGGUGAGUAAUGCAUAGGAAUCUACCUAGUAGUAUGGGAUAGCCACUAGAAAUGGUGGGUAAUACUGUAUAAUCCCUGCGGGGGAAAGAUUUAUCGCUAUUAGAUGAGCUAUGUUAGAUUAGCUAGUUGGUAGGGUAAGGCCUACCAAGGCAGUGAUCUAUAGCUGGUCUGAGAGGAUGAUCAGCCACACUGGAACUGAGAUACGGUCCAGACUCCUACGGGAGGCAGCAGUGGGGAAUAUUGGACAAUGGGCGCAAGCCUGAUCCAGCUAUGCCGCGUGAGUGAGGAAGGCCUUAGGGUUGAAAACUCUUUCAGUGGGGAAGAUAAUGACGGUACCCACAGAAGAAGUCCCGGCAAACUCCGUGCCAGCAGCCGCGGUAAUACGGAGGGGGCAAGCGUUGUUCGGAAUUAUUGGGCGUAAAGGGCAUGUAGGCGGUUCGGUAAGUU
rnacentral:rRNA from 1 species